rnacentral:rRNA from 1 species
UACAGAGGUCCCAAGCGUUGUUCGGAUUCACUGGGCGUAAAGGGCGUGUAGGCGGCCAUGUAGGUCCGGUGUGAAAACUCGAGGCUUAACCUCGAGAUGUCAUCGGAAACCAUUUGGCUAGAGUCCGGAAGAGGAGAGUGGAAUUCCUGGUGUAGCGGUGAAAUGCGCAGAUAUCAGGAAGAACACCAAUGGCGAAAGCAGCUCUCUGGGACGGUACUGACGCUGAGACGCGAAAGCGUGGGGAGCGAACAGG